GAUGAAGAACGUAGCGAAAUGCGAUAAGUAAUGUGAAUUGCAGAAUUCAGUGAAUCAUCGAAUCUUUGAACGCACAUUGCGCCCGCCAGUAUUCUGGCGGGCAUGCCUGUUCGAGCGUCAUUACAACCCUCAGGCCCCCGGGCCUGGCGUUGGGGAUCGGCGGAAGCCCCCUGUGGGCACACGCCGUCCCUCAAAUACAGUGGCGGUCCCGCCGCAGCUUCCAUUGCGUAGUAGCUAACACCUCGCAACUGGAGAGCGGCGCGGCCAUGCCGUAAAACACCCAACUUCUGAAUGUUGACCUCGAAUCAGGUAGGAAUACCCGCUGAGCUUAAGCAUAUCAAUAAGCGGAGGA
rnacentral:misc_RNA from 1 species